CGGCCACAUUGGGACUGAGAUACGGCCCAGACUCCUACGGGAGGCAGCAGUGGGGAAUAUUGCACAAUGGGCGCAAGCCUGAUGCAGCGACGCCGCGUGCGGGAUGACGGCCUUCGGGUUGUAAACCGCUUUUGACUGGGAGCAAGCCCUUCGGGGUGAGUGUACCUUUCGAAUAAGCACCGGCUAACUACGUGCCAGCAGCCGCGGUAAUACGUAGGGUGCAAGCGUUAUCCGGAAUUAUUGGGCGUAAAGGGCUCGUAGGCGGUUCGUCGCGUCCGGUGUGAAAGUCCAUCGCUUAACGGUGGAUCCGCGCCGGGUACGGGCGGGCUUGAGUGCGGUAGGGGAGACUGGAAUUCCCGGUGUAACGGUGGAAUGUGUAGAUAUCGGGAAGAACACCAAUGGCGAAGGCAGGUCUCUGGGCCGUCACUGACGCUGAGGAGCGAAAGCGUGGGGAGCGAACAGGAUUAGAUACCCUGGUAGUCCACGCCGUAAACGGUGGAUGCUGGAUGUGGGGACCAUUCCACGGUCUCCGUGUCGGAGCCAACGCGUUAAGCAUCCCGCCUGGGGAGUACGGCCGCAAGGCUAAAACUCAAAGAAAUUGACGGGGGCCCGCACAAGCGGCGGAGCAUGCGGAUUAAUUCGAUGCAACGCGAAGAACCUUACCUGGGCUUGACAUGUUCCCGACAGCCCCAGAGAUGGGGCCUCCCUUCGGGGCGGGUUCACAGGUGGUGCAUGGUCGUCGUCAGCUCGUGUCGUGAGAUGUUGGGUUAAGUCCCGCAACGAGCGCAACCCUCGCCCUGUGUUGCCAGCACGUCAUGGUGGGAACUCACGGGGGACCGCCGGGGUCAACUCGGAGGAAGGUGGGGAUGACGUCAGAUCAUCAUGCCCCUUACGUCCAGGGCUUCACGCAUGCUACAAUGGCCGGUACAACGGGAUGCGACCUCGUGAGGGGGAGCGGAUCCCUUAAAACCGGUCUCAGUUCGGAUUGGAGUCUGCAACCCGACUCCAUGAAGGCGGAGUCGCUAGUAAUCGCGGAUCAGCAACGCCGCGGUGAAUGCGUUCCCGGGCCUUGUACACACCGCCCGUCAAGUCAUGAAAGUGGGUAGCACCCGAAGCCGGUGGCCCAACCUUUUGGGGGGAGCCGUCUAAGGUGAGACUCGUGAUUGGGACUAAGUCGUAACAAGGUAGCCGUACCGGAAGGUGCGGCUG
rnacentral:rRNA from 1 species